AUUGAACGCUGGCGGCAGGCCUAACACAUGCAAGUCGAACGAGUGGCGGACGGGUGAGUAAUGUCUGUGAAACUGCCCGAUGGAGGGGGAUAACUACUGGAAACGGUAGCUACUACCGCCUACCAUCGGCUGUGCCCAGGUGGGAUUAGCGAGUGGGUGGGGUAACGGCUUACCUAGGCGACGAUCCCUAGCUGGUCUGAGAGGAUGACCAGUCACACUGGAACUGAGACACGGUCCAGACUCCUACGGGAGGCAGCAGUGGGGAAUAUUGGACAAUGGGCGAAAGCCUGAUGCAGCCAUGCCGCGUGUAUGAAGAAGGUCUUCGGGUUGUAAAGUACUUUAAGCGAGGAGGCGUUACCCGCAGAAUAAGCACCGGCUAACUCCGUGCCAGCAGCCGCGGUAAUUC
rnacentral:rRNA from 1 species